GAACGCAUCUUUUUUGAUAUUUCAAAACAUAAUCGUGUUAAAUCUAUUUGCACAUCCUUAUCAUAGGUACCUUCUAAAUCAGAUAGUUGAAUAUCAAAUUUUUGUAAAGAUACACACUUAGGAAUAAUAUGAUUAUUGUAAAGAUAUAUUACUUGCUGUCUUAGUAUGGAGUUCCAACAUAAAAAUGUAGUAAAAAAUAUGCCUAAUCUUAGUAAUGAUCUCCAGGACUCAGAAUCAAACUCAAUUUUGUUACCAUACUGAUUAAUCACAAAAACGUACUGAUUAUCUGAUUUCCUAAAUCUAAAGUUACAUUUUAUGGAGUGCAAGCACGGAUGAUCAAUAAUUGUAUCAGGCAUCAAGAAGUCAUACUGGUCCAGCUUCAACUGAAUAAAUUCCUUAUACUUGACAGACCACAUUUCAAUUUUAAGUUAUGAACAACAUAAUACUCGAAUCCAAAAAUGACUUCGUGGUCCUGUUUCUUUCGAGAAGUUUUAUUUCUUUUAGUUACACACAUGUCCAUCAGGUAAGACUACUCUAAAUAAACUGUAAAUAUGUUCUAGUCUUACCGGUAUAUAAAGGAGAAAGCCCUAGCAAGCACACCCUCAGUUGAUUAAAAAAUCUCAACCAAUGAUGAACACAGUCGAUCGUAAUUCAAGCAUUAUAGUAGAUUUUCAAUAUGUACUUGGUAACAACAAACAAGUUUUCGUUAAGGAGCUGGCGUUUAUGCCUGCUGGAACUGUUAUACCUAAUUUUUUCCAUUUCAAACCGCCAUAUAACAUAAAAGAAUUGGAUAAUGGAGCUCUUAAGCAGCAGCACCUUAACCAGCAGAACAUAAACGGAUUGGAUUGGUCAGCUGGAGACAUUCCAUACACAAGUCUUAAAGAAAUACUCACACCACUCAAUAAGUAUCACACAGUUCUUCUUCGUGGUGAAAUUAAAAAGAAUUUUUUAAUCAAGUAUUUAUCAACAAACAUUAUCGAUAUAGAUAUCGGAAGAAGUUUAACUCAACUACCCAAUUUUUCUACGAAUUGUAGAAUACACAAGAAAAAACUUCCACUUCGAUGUUCAUUAAAUAAUUUAUUUAAGCUGUUUGUAUUCUUAGAAAACACCAAUUAUGAAAUAUAUAGUAAUGGUGACACAUGUGUUUAAAAUUUAGUAAAAAGAAAUUCAUAAUCCUAUCAGGUUGUCUCUUAUUAUGGAUUCUUUUAAGAGAUUUUUUGGAAAUGAUCCCCGUAAAAAUGGAUACACGCAACUUAUUUAUUGUAAUUAUUGCGGAUCUGAUACUCAUUUCGAGAAGAACUGCUCCAAGAAACGCGAUCAAGUGAAUAUUAAUAAAACCUAAUAUAACUUAAAAACAUUAUAUAAGCAAUUAGUAAUAAUAUAAUAUAUUAAAAUUCAUUCCGAAUAAAAAAAUUUUUUUAAUAAAAAAUGUUUACACAAUUUA